GAUGAACGCUGGCGGCGUGCCUAACACAUGCAAGUCGAGCGAACAGACGAGGAGCUUACUCCUCUGACGUUAGCGGCGGACGGGUGAGUAACACGUGGAUAACCUACCUAUAAGACGGGGAUAACUUCGGGAAACCGGAGCUAAUACCGGAUAACAUGUUGAACCGCAGGGUUCAACAGUGAAAGACGGUCUUGCUGUCACUUAUAGAUGGAUCCGCGUCGCAGUAGAAAGUUGGUAACGUAGCGGAAUACGAAGGCAACGAUGGGUAGCCGACCUGAGAGCGUCAUUGGCCACACUGGAUGUGAGGCACGGCCGACACUCCUGCAGUGAGCAGCGGUAGAGACUCUUCCGCAAUGGGGGAGAGCCUGACGGUGCAAAGCCGCGUGAGUGAAGAAGGUCCUACGAUCGUAAAACGCUGUUAUUAGGGAGGAUCAAAUGUGUAAGUAACUGUGCACAUCAUGACGGUACCUAAUCAGAAAGCCCCGGCUAACUACGUG
rnacentral:rRNA from 1 species